rnacentral:piRNA from 1 species
UGACAUAAUUGGACAGAAAUGGAUUGUC